rnacentral:lncRNA from 1 species
AUCUCCCGUAAUAAAGUCUGUUCACACCUGACAUCUCCACCAGUACGCACACGCCUGACAAGUGUUUUCCUAUAUACAGUAAAGUGCACUACUUAGGCACCCUAUUCCCCAUAUACAGUAUAGUGCACUACUUAGGCACCCUAUUCCCUAUAUACAGUAUAUUGCACUACUUAGGCACCCUAUUCCCUAUACACAGUAUAGUGCACUACUUAGGCACCCUAUUCCCUAUAUGCAGUAUGUGCACUGCUUAGGCCCCUAUUCCCCUAUAUACAGUAUAGUGCACUAAUUAGGCACCCUAUUCACUAAUAUACAGUAUAGUGCACUACUUAGGCACCCUAUUCCCUAUAUACAGUAUAGUGCACUGCUUAGGCACCCUAUUCCCUAUAUGCAGUAUAGUGCACUACUUAGGCACCUAUUCACUAUAUACAGUAUAGUGCACUACUUAGGGCACCCUAUUCCCUAUAUACAGUAUAGUGCACUGCUUAGGCACCCUAUUCCCUAUAUACAGUAUAGUGCACUACUUAGGCACCCUAUUCCCUAUAUACAGUAUAGUGUACUACUUAGGCACCCUAUUCCCCAUAUACAGUAUAGCUGCACUACUUAGGCACCCUAUUCCCUAUAUACAGUAUAGUGUACUACUUAGGCACCCUAUUCCCCAUAUACAGUAUAGUGCACUACUUAGGCACCCUAUUCCCUAUAUACAGUAUAGUGCACUACUUAGGCACCCUAUUCCCUCUAUACAGUAUAGUGCCCUACUUAGGCACCCUAUUCACUAUAUACAGUAUAGUGCACUACUUAGGCACCCUAUUCCUAUAUACAGAUAGUGCACUGCUUAGGCACCCUAUUCCCUAUAUACAGUACAGUGCACUACUUAGGCACCCUAUUCCCUAUAUACAGUAUAGUGUACUACUUAGGCACCCUAUCCCCAUAUACAGUAUAGUGCACUACUUAGGCACCCUAUUCCCCAUAUACAGUAUAGUGCACUACUUAGGCACCCUAUUCCCCAUAUACAGUAUAGUGCACUACUUAGGCACCCCUAUUCCCCAUAUACAGUAUAGUGUACUACUUAGGCACCCUAUUCCCUAUAUACAGUAUAGUGCACUACUUAGGCACCCUAUUCCCUAUAUACAGUAUAGUGCACUACUUAGGCACCCUAUUCCCUAUAUACAGUAUAGUGCACUACUUAGGCACCCUAUUCCCCUAUAUACAGUAUAGUGUUACUACUUAGGCACCCUAUUCACUAUAUACAGUAUAGUGCACUACUUAGGCACCCUAUCACUAUAUACAGUAUAGUGCACUACUUAGGCACCCUAUUCCUAUAUACAGUUUAUUUUAAUGUAACCU